CUCCCCACCAUGGAGGUGGCAGCACUCCAUCACAUGGAGGUGGCUACGGUGGCACACCACCCAGCCACCCAACCCCAUCAACCCCAUCUCCUGGAAAUUGUGGAACUCCACCGAGCGUGCCCACUCCAUCAAGACCACCAAGUGAUCCUACUCCAACACCAUACACGCCUACACCAUCAACACCACCUAGUGUGCCUACUCCAUCAACACCUUCAAAUCCUCCUCCCAGCGGUGGUGGAUACUACCCCACUCCUCCAAGCACUGGUGGUAGUCCUCCAACACCUGUCAUUGAGACCCCACCGACACCCAUCACUCCAACUCCAAGUACCCCUUACAUUCCCUCGCCUCCGUUCAUUCCUGAUCCAAAUUCACCAUUCACAUGCACGUAAGCUUCUUACACUAAUUUAUUUUUGAUAAUGCAGUAACCAAAUAUUGACACCCAAAUGCUUGUGUAAUCGCAGUUACUGGAAGAAUCAUCCUGGAAUAAUAUGGGGUCUACUAGGGUGGUGGGGAACCGUAGGCAGCGCAUUUGGAGCGACUAGCUUUUCAGGGUUCGGGGCAAGCAUGAGCUUGCCGCAAGCGCUCUCGAAUACACGAAAUGAUGGGUACGGAACACUCUACAGAGAAGGUACUGCUUCCUUGCUCAACUCAAUGGUGAGCAAC
rnacentral:lncRNA from 1 species